rnacentral:rRNA from 1 species
GGGGGGACGGUUUUCCGGAAUUAUUGCGGCGUAAGCGCGCGCAGGCGGUUUCUUAAGUCUGAUGUGAAAGCCCACGGCUCAACCGUGGAGGGUCAUUGGAAACUGGGAGACUUGAGUGCAGAAGAGGAAAGUGGAAUUCCAUGUGUAGCGGUGAAAUGCGUAGAGAUAUGGAGGAACACCAGUGGCGAAGGCGACUUUCUGGUCUGUAACUGACACUGAGGCGCGAAAGCGUGGGGAGCAAACAGGAUUAGAUACCCUGGUAGUCCACGCCGUAAACGAUGAGUGCUAAGUGUUAGAGGGUUUCCGCCCUUUAGUGCUGAAGUUAACGCAUUAAGCACUCCGCCUGGGGAGUACGGCCGCAAGGCUGAAACUCAAAGGAAUUGACGGGGGCCCGCACAAGCGGUGGAGCAUGUGGUUUAAUUCGAAGCACGCGAAAACCUUACCGGUCUUGACAUCCUCUGAAACCCUAGAGAUGGGCUUCUCCUUCGGAGCACAGUGACCGUGGUGCUGGUUGUCCUCCCUCUUGUCUGAGAUGUUGGGUUAGUCCCGCACGAGCGCACCCUUGAUCUUAUUGCCUCAUUAAUUGGGCCUCUAAGUGACUGCCGUGACAACCGGAGGAAGUGGGGAGACAUCAAUCUCAUGCCCUUUGACCUGGCUCACCCUGCUCAAUGGACGGACAAAAGCUGCAGACCCGAGGGGACUAACUCUAAAACGUCUCAGUCGGAUGUAGCUGCACUCCCUCCUGAACUGGAUCCUAGUAUCCGGAUCACUGCCCGGGGAAACCUUCCCGGCUUUGCCCCCCCCCUCCACCCAGAGUUGUACCCCCAAUCCGGGGGUACCUUUUGAGCCGCCCCUAGGGGGCAAUGUUGGGGGAUCUCGGGGGCCCCCAAAAACCCCCACCCCCCCCCCC